AACCGAUAACACGCAUCCUCGCGCGCGAUAACGAGCGCACGAGGCUGGUCGUGGUGCUUUUUAAGGUUAAUCGUCGCGUGAGAGAAUCAUCGGCGUUUUUAAAUUCAUUUCAAUUUGGUUAUGUAAUCUUCGACGAGGACGACGUGACGUCCGCGUCUCGCAUCGUCUCGUCGACGAUGUCUCUCAAUGAGAUUCUCUCUCAUUUUCGUCGUUCAUCGCUCGUCGUUCACCUCGAACGCAAAAGCCGGCCUCGAUCGAGCGAGCGAGGGGGUGAGAGAGGGAGCGAGAUAGAGCGCGUUAUGUAACCUCGCGAAUUGCGCGAAUCUCGACGCACGGGGUCAUGUGAGUCGCCAUCGUUGGAGGGGGUGGCAAAAGGAGGAAGGGAGAAGGGUCUAGCAGAAGACGUAUCGCCGGCGCCAACGGACGAAUCUCAUCUCCAGGGUUACGUUCGAAAUUCUCGUAGCGCGUUAUUUAUUCAUUAAUCGGAAUAUGAUCUUUUCACUUUGAUUGAUCGAUCAAGCUCUACUUCAUCGAGUAGAUUCUCGAAUGCAACAACCGGUCGUUCCGGUUCGCACACGAAAGUACGUUUUUUCUCCUGAGUCGUCGAAUGCUGGAACAUAUUUGUAUUUAGUUUUUAUCUGGCUUCCACCUUUGAUGAAUCCGUAGCUGAGAUAUUUAUUAGAAUGUUUUCCUCGUGAUACUUUUCGAAAUAGUCGGAGGUACUAAUGAAAGGACAAACUUGUCCAACUAAUUUGUGAAAGUAUCCAAUGUUUCGAAAGAAAUAAUCAUCAAGAUGCAAGUGAGAAGAACCUUCGAAUAGUCGAAGUAUUCGCGGAAUAUAUUUUUCGAGAAUAAUCUCAUUGUCAGAAUUUAAAAGAUCGUCGAAAUUACUUGGCGAAGAAUUCAUCGAGAUCUUGGAGCUGCUCUAUUCCAAGGUUCUACAUAGAUUGUGCGAUAAUUAAUCAGUGAUAAGUAAUAUAAAUUACACUAUUAAAAUUGAUGUAAACUUCAAAAUAUUUACAAGAGAUCUUCCCAAUGAAAAUAUCAAGAAUUUCAAGAAAAUUAAUUGCAAUAAUUAUUGGAAAAUAUCAAGAAGUUAAUUGCAAUCAUUGGAAAAUAUCAAGAAAAUUAAUUGCAGUAAUUAUUGGAAUCCUAAAUGAUAAGAACGAUAACGUUCUUCAUACUUUCUUCAAUCUUUUUAGGAAAUGGUCAACGUUUAUCUAGGUUUGGAUAUAUCAAGAUUUACACAAGACGAUCAAACGCACGCACACAUGCUGUAAUCGCGUUUACGUAAUACAUUUUCAGUUAUGCUCGUGUCUCGAUUGGAAGCUCAGAUCGCUUUUUUUCUUCUUGUUUUUAGUCGAUAUGUACAACUGUCGUUGUGUAACGUCGAUAUUUACGACGAAUCUUGAUUUUGAGGACGAAGAAGCGACCGUAUGAUGCAACAUCGUUGUCUAAGACGGACGAGAAUGUUCGAUGCCGAGACGUCGACGUAAAGUUUAACGUCGUCGAGUUCUCGCGAUACGAAUCUCAGCAUAAUACUACGGGAUGUAACAUUCUAGGAUAAACAAUAACGAAUGAUGCAACAUCGACACUUGUGAGUGACGUCAAUGUAUGGCCGUCGGGACUCGAAUAAGAGAUAUUCUAGAUAACAAGAGGGCCAGCUGUGAUACGUACUCCAAUAGCGUAAAAACAAUCUUUGAAACGAAUGGAAAGCGAUGUCCAUGAAUACAAGGCGCUUCUCUGGAAUCGACCUCGUCAACUUCGUGCGGGGCGAAAAUAUAAUUUCUCUAAUUUUUCUGUCGCGCUUUUUCUAUCGCGCGUUUUCUUUUCUUUUUUCUUGAUGUAUAAAUAGAGGAAAUGAAAAAAAGGAUGACGAAACACAUGUUUUCCUUCUAAGAAUUGACUUUGAUUGACGGGAAUAUGCAUUUUCGAAGGAUACAGGACACCUGCAGAUAGACUUUCUUUCCGCCGAAACAUGUUUUUCCUCAACAGACAUGGAACAGAUGAAAAACAUGUGUAUGUUAAUGAUCGGCUGGAAAAUUCCUUGUUUGCAUUUCUUAUUGUCAGGAUAAGUAUCUAGAAACAAAUCCAAUUUAUCUUCUUACAAUCUUGUAAAUUGUUCUAUCUUUUUUAUAUUUAAAAAAACGAAAUUUUAUUAAAAAUUAUAAAAUUUUAAGAUUGUGUUGCAUCAGAAAAUCUGGAAAAUUCGAUAAACUUGAUUGGACGAGGAAGCGAUCGAUCUGUAUAAUCGUUCGUAUAUUUCCGUAAGUUUAAUGAAAAACGAGAGGGGAAAAAAACUUCGUUUUAACGCAUUCUCAUUCAUCUGUAUCGAGGGAACAAUUGCGAUCCGGAAUCGCAAUGAAGAAGAAGCACCUACCGAUAACGGGGGUUAUCGGCGCCGGCUAUUAUACUGUUUUACACGCAGUAUUCUACGUCAAACAGACAUCCCUCGAUGACAAUUGAAUCAAGCAAACUGAUGUAGUUGCAAUACGAUUGAAGAUUGAAGUUCGUACUUUCACCUUUGAGUUCGCGUGUUUAAAUCGAUCCUCCUCACGUGUCUCAGACUCUUCGUGAACCCGCAUACGGUUAACCCGUCGUUUGCGCUCUAUAUUUAGCUGUAAAUACUAUAUAGUCGUUUAUCUACCGCAUAUCUAUAUCUUUGACGCCUUUUUAUAUUUCAUCCAUUUUUCUACUUAUUUAAUUCCAAUUUUGAAAAGAUACAUGGCCGUAAAAUUUAAAAACAAUUGAAAAACAUCCAAAUUAUGUGUAAAAUUAGAAACGUCUUUUAAAUUUCUAUAUAUAAGUUUCUAGUUAUGUAUAUUUUCAAAAAAUAUACACAUUUAUUCUUAAUUUAUUCAAUAUUUUUAUAAAAAUUUUAAUUAAAUANAUAAUUUUUAAUUAAUUUUUUUUUAAGUUUUAUUUUUUAACAUGAAUAUGUGUGUUUGCUAUAUUUUUUAUAUUUUCAUAUUUUUACUUCAAGUUUAUCGGAAAAUUGUCAAAGUAUCGUCUUCUGAUAUUUUCGGCUGUUUGUUAUUAAAUUUAAAAAGAAAUUAUCAGGAAAAAUUGAUAAAAAUUAUCAAAUUACAUUAUCGUUUAAGGACGCGAAUAAUCGAUCGGUUUCUAACUUUUGCCGGGGUCAACGGCUGAUACGAUACUGCAUCGAUGCUAUUCAGGCCCGUGAAUCAAAUUAAGCGGCGGUUUAAUGGCGAGAAGAAAAGCGCGACGAUUCAUGAGCAUUGAUAAUCUUUCAACUGUGAACAUUUUAUUAAUGAUAUUAAAGCCGUUUUCGCGCUAUAACGUGAAUGAAACCGAUGAUGCCAUUCGUCAACGUGCUGUGUUUUAGCGACAGGUGCAUAAAACAUCGCGCCCGUGAUAAUUGUUAAUAAUAAAACUAACGUUCUGUCGCUCAGUAGAUCUCGUCUAAUAAAGCUCACUGCUUUUUUAACUCACUUCAUUUGUCAAUCAUUAAGAGCCGAGUUACCUCCGAUUGCGUCUUAUCUUAAUAACUUUUUGUUUUGAACCUAAUUACUAUGAUAACUAGUAAUAUAGAUAAGUGUAAUAAAACUUUAUUUCCUUUUUUAGUUAACAAAAGUUCCUACAAAGGUAAUUUUUUUUGCUUUUAUUUAGCAAGAAAUCUAACAUUUAUUUGCAGAAAAAUUAUAAUUGUUAUAUUAUUUAAAAAAUAAAAAGAUUUAUAUAUAAACAGUAGCCGAUUACUUUUUUCUUCCAAAGAAACAUUGUUUCAAAAGUUGACACGUUUCUACAACAUUCUACAUAUGUUAUUUCUAAAAAAAAAAAAAAAAAUAUUUCUUUAUAAUACGCAUAUGUAAUCAUCGCGGUUUUCUUCUCGUAUUUACAGACCUUUCUCACAUUAUUUUGUGAUAAGAUGCCUUUUAUAUCUACAUCCAAUUACACACCCGCGUUGUAAUAGGAGUACAAUAAUUCUACACAGAGUGACAGUGGAAGAGUACACCGAUAACGCGGUGAUAAGACAGGCAAUAUACGCGCCAGCAAAA